GUCUACUGCCACACCACCCUGAGGGUGCCCGAUCCCAUCUGAUCUCAGAAGCUAAGCAGGGUCCGGCCUGUUUAGUACUUGGAUGGGAGAAUUUAGGAUAAGAUA
rnacentral:rRNA from 1 species